AGUGAACGCUGGCGGUAGGCCUAACACAUGCAAGUCGAACGGCGGCACAGUAAGAGCUUGCUCUUACGGGUGGCGAGUGGCGGACGGGUGAGGAAUACAUCGGAAUCUACUUUUUCGUGGGGGAUAACGUAGGGAAACUUACGCUAAUACCGCAUACGACCUACGGGUGAAAGCAGGGGAUCUUCGGACCUUGCGCGAUUGAAUGAGCCGAUGUCGGAUUAGCUAGUUGGCGGGGUAAAGGCCCACCAAGGCGACGAUCCGUAGCUGGUCUGAGAGGAUGAUCAGCCACACGGGAGCGGGGACAGGGUCCAGAGUCCUGCGGGAGGCAGCAGUGGGGAAUAUGGGACAGUGGGCGCAAGCCUGAUCCAGCCAUACCGCGUGGGUGAAAGAAGCCUUGGGGUUGUAAAGCCCGUUUGUUGGGAGAGAAAAGCAGCAGGUUAAUACCCCGCUGUUCUGACGGUACCCAAAGAAUAAGCACCGGCUAACUUCGUG
rnacentral:rRNA from 1 species